rnacentral:rRNA from 1 species
UUAUUCCUACGGGGGGCAGCAGUGGGGAAUAUUGGACAAUGGGGGAAACCCUGAUCCAGCGACGCCGCGUGAGUGAAGAAGUAUUUCGGUAUGUAAAGCUCUAUCAGCAGGGAAGAAAAUGACGGUACCUGACUAAGAAGCCCCGGCUAACUACGUGCCAGCAGCCGCGGUAAUACGUAGGGGGCAAGCGUUAUCCGGAUUUACUGGGUGUAAAGGGAGCGUAGACGGCAUAGCAAGUCUGAUGUGAAAGAUCGGGGCUCAACCCCGGGCCUGCAUUGGAAACUGUUAAGCUGGAGUACAGGAGG